CCGCCAUCGCGAGUCGCGAAAAACUUAGCGUCCAUUGUCGAUCGAGAGUUUGGAGGGCAAACUGCGAAUAAAACGUGCGAGCUACUAUAGCCAAGUCUUUCCUUGGUAUCCAAAGGAAGUAGCCGUUGAAGGCAACUCCACUCGAGCGACUACGCUCGCACAGGAUCCGAAACAUAUUUAUAAUUUCGGUAACACUACGCUCAAAUCUCAUCGAAAGCUUUCUGCCGACGGAAUCCCUGGCUGUUUCACCAAAUUCUGUGAGGACGCCUUGUGCAAGCCUCUAGUGAAACGGUUUACCUUUUUUUGGAUUUUUACUUCCUGGAAACCUAACGGCCUGACGAACAUCAGAUACGUGAUCGGAAUUCAUGCCUUUAAUUAUGGGAUUGAAACCAGAAACGUUUUCAACCAAAAACUUUAUUUACAUUCGGCCUGAUCGACCUCGAUCUACCAUAUUAAUGCUAUGGUAUGGUUUACAACGUUUGCGGCGGAUAUAAAUGUCAAAGUACUUACUAAGUGAGUCUUUUGCUUAACGAGUACUAGUGCUCUAUGACUA